CAUUAACGAAUUGUAAUGGGGGCUGAUGCUGGCCAUCAUCUUUUUGAUGGUAGGUGCUCGCCUCCAAUAACAAUCUCUCAUCCAAACACCUGUGCACCUUCUUUGAGGGUUCCGAGCUGGCUACCAUUUUCCGGUGGUCUCUUGGAUUCCCUUCCUAUCUUUACAUACACAGCUUUACAAUGUUGAACGUGCCAGUGCCGAUUAGGCCGUAAUAUUAAUACAACUUUUAACAACGGAUCUCUUGGCUCUCGCAUCGAUGAAGAACGCAGCGAAAUGCGAUAAGUAAUGUGAAUUGCAGAAUUCAGUGAAUCAUCGAAUCUUUGAACGCACCUUGCGCUCCCUGGUAUUCCGGGGAGCACGCCUGUUCGAGUGUUGUGAACUUCUCAAGCUAGCAUGCUUUUUUGCUUUCUGGCUUGGUAUUGGGCUCUGCCGUGUCCCUUGACUUGGAACGGCUGGCCUUAAAAGCAUUAGCUGGCCUUCAUGCGAUAUUGGUUCUACUCAGCGUGAUAAUUAUGUGAUCGCUGAGGACAUCUUUUUGGGAUGGCCAAUUCGCGUUUGGGUUGCUUCCAAUCUGGAUUACAGAUUUCUGAAUCUGUUCCACUUUCAAUUUUGACCUCGAAUCAGGUGGGACUACCCGCUGAACUUAAGCAUAUCAAUAAGCGGAGGAAAAGAAACUAACAAGGAUUCCCCUAGUAACGGCGAGUGAAGCGGGAAAAGCUCAAAUUUAAAAUCUGGCAGUCUUAGAUUGUCCGAAUUGUAAUCUAGAGAAGCGUCUUCCGCGCUGGACUGUGUACAAGUUUCCUGGAUACGGAACAUCGUA
rnacentral:rRNA from 1 species